rnacentral:rRNA from 1 species
UACAGAGGGGGCUAGCGUUGUUCGGAAUUACUGGGCGUAAAGGGCUCGUAGGCGGCCAACUAAGUCAGACGUGAAAUCCCCAGGCUCAACCUGGGAACUGCGUCUGAUACUGGAUGGCUUGAAUCCGGGAGAGGGAUGCAGAAUUCCAGGUGUAGCGGUGAAAUGCGUAGAUAUCUGGAGGAAUACCGGUGGCGAAGGCGGCAUCCUGGACCGGCAUUGACGCUGAGGAGCGAAAGCCAGGGGAGCAAACGGG